rnacentral:ncRNA from 2 species
CAACGUUCUCAGGGCGGGGUGCGAUUCCCCACCGGCGGUAAUGGCCACGGCCUAGCCCGCGAGCGCUUGCUUUGGCAAGGUCAGCAGACCCGGUGUGAUUCCGGGGCCGACGGUAUAGUCCGGAUGAGAGAGAGCGGGA